ACAAACAAACAAACAAAAACACACACAAAAAAACAAACCAUACUGUAACACACACCAGACUUCUAACAGACAAAGUAUUUGCAUUGACAAACAAACUGCCCUUCACUGACUGUCACACAUUUAACAACUCUUUUCUUAUGUUCCUCUCAUCUCACUGUAGUCUUCUGCCUGAAGUCAAAUUUCUGACCAGCUGUGCUCUCACACGAGCCUCCAGAAAGGCCUCAAUGGGCAAGCACCACGCACACAACUCUUUACUCCGGUAACACCUCUGAAGGCUCCCGAAGCGUCAGCAGCUGAAACCCAUCUCCCUUUCACUCCUCUGUAAUUUCCUAGCAAAGACAGAAAAUUACAACCCACAGCCGGCGCUCCACAUAAAGCCAAUUACAAGAAGCGUGGGGGUGGCAGUGCUCUCUGACACCAGCCCCGCCAAGGACGGUCCAUCCUUCGCACGUCUCGUCUGGUGCGAUGGAAGAGCUCUUCUCUGCACCGCAGCCUCCGUUAAUGAAGUACACUCGACAGAGAACUAUCCGAGGGUGAAGGGGCAACACCACAUUCACAGUGACCUCAAUUUGUGCCCAGCCGCUUCAAAAUCAUGAGCCCAGGCAGAUAACAAACAAACAAAUAUGUAAAUGAAUCAUGGAAGAGCCUUAACGACACCAGCUCAGAACAUGCAACACCCAGCCUUUUCCACCACAGUCCCCUUAGCCCAAACCCACCCCAUAUCAUGGGACACGUUAGGAACAUGUGGUGAUUGCAGAGCCAGGGUGCGUGCCCAGCCAGACCCGGCUCUCAGCAGGGCAUUGAGGCCCAUGGGCAGAGUUAGGCCCAAGGCUCCUGGGCUGCGGUGGCUCUUCCUAGAGCACACCACGACUGGUUGGGCAGCACGUACAUGACAGGGCUGCUUGGCCCACAAUUCAUUCACUGCCAGCAGCUCCUUAUCAGCGGGAGUUGGAUGUGAGCCAUAUCCAAGAAGGCCAGGCACGAUCCCUCCUGAGAAACCCAGCAGGCUCAGCUGGAGGCUUCUUGCUCGCCCCUGGCUGGAGGGUUUCUGCUGUAACUAAAAGCCAGCACUGGGCUGUCUGGGCUAAGCCUGACCUGCUCAGUGAAACACAGACAUCUCCUCACCUUCUUAGUUUCUUCUGUGGUGGGGAUCAGUGGAAGCACCUUCAUCAAUUGGGCUGGAAGGCUUUUGCCAAAUGGAAGACUGAAAAGCUGAAACCUUCUUUUCCCGAUCACUUGGUCACUUCCACGGUGCAGAUUCUCCAAUUUUGCAAAUGACUUCAUCGGUGUCAGCACUAUUGGCAGCUGAGACGUUUGCGUGCCUAAACUCUGCAGGAUGACUUCACGCAUUGAACUCACCUGACUUAAUAACAUCCUGCCUAACAAACAGCGAUGCACAUGCCAAUUGCCUACCUAACAGAGGUCUCUACAGGCCUGGGAAGUCAGCACCAAAGCUUCAGCAACCACAUCGCCAGGGCUCAUCGCCUGCAUUUUCAAGGAAAUGGCACAGCAAAGCAAAAGGACCCCUUUUCUUGGGAUGUGGUAGAAGCGCAAGAAAAAUGAACAAAAUCACAUGUUCAGAUAAAGUUCCUUUUGACAUGGUGGGAACUGUGGGUUCAAAAUGAAAACAAUAAACAAAGCAAGAUGAGGAGAAAAAUAUAAAAAA